UGGGGAAUUUUGGACAAUGGGCGAAAGCCUGAUCCAGCAAUGCCGCGUGUGUGAAGAAGGGCCUUCGGGUUGUAAAGCACUUUUGUCCGGAAAGAAAUCCUCUGGGUUAAUACCUCGGGGGGAUGACGGUACCGGAAGAAUAAGCACCGGCUAACUACGUGCCAGCAGCCGCGGUAAUACGUAGGGUGCAAGCGUUAAUCGGAAUUACUGGGCGUAAAGCGUGCGCAGGCGGUUUUGUAAGACGGAUGUGAAAUCCCCGGGCUUAACCUGGGAACUGCAUUCGUGACUGCAAGGCUAGAGUAUGGCAGAGGGGGGUUAGAAUUCCACGUGUGAGCAGUGAAAUGCGUAGAGAUGUGGAGGAAUACCGAUGGCGAAGGCAGCCCCCUGGGCCAAUACUGACGCUCAUGCACGAAAGCGUGGGGAGCAAACAGGA
rnacentral:rRNA from 1 species